AUAGAGACUCAGAGCUGCAUAUCAAUAAGCGGAGGAAAAGAAACUAACAAGGAUUCCCUUAGUAACGGCGAGUGAAGCGGGAAGAGCUCAAAUUUGAAAUCUUCAAGGUUUUACCUUGACGAAUUGUAGUUUAAAGAAGUGUUUUCUGCUGAAGUUUUGGUAAAAGUUCUUUGGAAUAGGACAUCAUAGAGGGUGAGAAUCCCGUAUUUGACCAUUAUUUUCAGCUUUGUGAUACACUUUCAAAGAGUCGGAUUGUUUGGGAAUGCAGUCCAAAAUGGGUGGUAAAUUUCAUCUAAAGCUAAAUAUUGGCGAGAGACCGAUAGCGAACAAGUACCGUGAGGGAAAGAUGAAAAGAACUUUGAAAAGAGAGUUAAACAGUACGUGAAAUUGUCAAAAGGGAAGCGUUUGACACCAGUGUUGUUUUUCCGAAAAUCAAUUACGAAUGUUUUGUUUUUAAGAAGUUAUGACUUCAUCGGCAUUGCUUCUCUUCUUUACGAAACUUUCUUAAUGCACUUUUCGGUUAACAAGUCAACAUCAAUUUCUUUCGUUGUAAAAGGGGUAUGAGGAAGGUGGCUUUCUUUUCGGAGAAAGUGUUUAUAGCCUUGUACCUCUGCAAUCGGAGAGAUUGAGGUCUGCAGCGUAGAUCCUUCGGGGUUAGAUACAUUUGUGCUAAGUUAUAGCUUUUCAUAGACAACUUGUUGACUAUGUUAAGUCUUGUAGCUUACUCGCUUAUGCUAUUUUACCUACGCUUAGGAUGUUGAUGUGAUACUGCGAGC
rnacentral:rRNA from 1 species